CGAGGUAGACGCAGAGAACUGAAACAUCUAAGUACCUGCAGGAAGAGAAAGAAAAUUCGAUUCCCUGAGUAGCGGCGAGCGAAACGGGAAAAGCCCAAACCAACAAGCUUGCUUGUUGGGGUUGUAGGACUCCAAUAUGGUCGUUCUUUCAGAUAGUCGAAUGACUUGGAAAAGUCAGUCAAAGAGGGUAAAAACCCCGUAGACGAAAUGUGGAAGACACCUAGGAGGAUCCUGAGUACGGCGGAACACGAGAAAUUCCGUCGGAAUCCGGGAGGACCAUCUCCCAAGGCUAAAUACUCCCUAGUGACCGAUAGUGAACCAGUACCGUGAGGGAAAGGUGAAAAGCACCCCGGAAGGGGAGUGAAAUAGAACCUGAAACCGUGUGCCUACAACAAGUCAAAGCCCGUUAAUGGGUGAUGGCGUGCCUUUUGUAGAAUGAACCGGCGAGUUACGAUUGCAUGCGAGGUUAAGUUGAAGAGACGGAGCCGCAGCGAAAGCGAGUCUGAAUAGGGCGUUUGAGUAUGUAGUCGUAGACCCGAAACCAUGUGAUCUACCCAUGUCCAGGUUGAAGGUGCGGUAAAACGCACUGGAGGACCGAACCCACGUACGUUGAAAAGUGCGGGGAUGAGGUGUGGGUAGCGGAGAAAUUCCAAACGAACUUGGAGAUAGCUGGUUCUCUCCGAAAUAGCUUUAGGGCUAGCCUCGGAAUUGAGAAUGAUGGAGGUAGAGCACUGUUUGGACUAGGGGCCCAUCUCGGGUUACCGAAUUCAGAUAAACUCCGAAUGCCAUUCAUUCAUAUCCGGGAGUCAGACUGUGAGUGAUAAGAUCCAUAGUCGAAAGGGAAACAGCCCAGACCACCAGCUAAGGUCCCAAAAUAUAUGUUAAGUGGAAAAGGAUGUGGGGUUGCACAGACAACUAGGAUGUUGGCUUAGAAGCAGCCACCAUUUAAAGAGUGCGUAAUAGCUCACUAGUCGAGUGACCCUGCGCCGAAAAUGUACCGGGGCUAAACAUAUUACCGAAGCUGUGGAGUACACCUUUAGGUGUAUUGGUAGGAGAGCGUUCUAAGGGCGUCGAAGGCAGAUCGUGAGGACUGCUGGAGCGCUUAGAAGUGAGAAUGCCGGUAUGAGUAGCGAAAGACAGGUGAGAAUCCUGUCCACCGAAUGACUAAGGUUUCCUGGGGAAGGCUCGUCCGCCCAGGGUUAGUCGGGACCUAAGCCGAGGCCGAUAGGCGUAGGCGAUGGAUAACAGGUUGAUAUUCCUGUACCCGUUGUUUUUGUUUGAGCAAUGGAGGGACGCAGG
rnacentral:rRNA from 1 species